UGUGUAGGCGGUUGUUUAAGUUUGGUGUGAAAUCUCCCGGCUCAACUGGGAGGGUGCGCCGAAUACUGAAUGACUAGAGUGCGGGAGAGGAAAGUGGAAUUCCUGGUGUAGCGGUGAAAUGCGUAGAUAUCAGGAGGAACACCGGUGGUGUAGACGGCUUUCUGGACCGUAACUGACGCUGAGACACGAAAGCGUGGGUAGCAAACAGGAUUAGAUACCCUGGUAGUCCACGCCCUAAACGAUGCAUAUUUGGUGUGGGCAGUUCAUUCUGUCCGUGCCGGAGCUAACGCGUUAAAUAUGCCGCCGUGGGGAGUACAGUCGCAAGGCUGAA
rnacentral:rRNA from 1 species